rnacentral:rRNA from 1 species
CCUACGGGAGGCAGCAGUGAGGAAUAUUGGUCAAUGGGCGGAAGCCUGAACCAGCCAAGUAGCGUGCGGGAUGAAGGCCCUACGGGUCGUAAACCGCUUUUGCACGGGGAUAACACCCUCCACUUGUGGAGGUCUGCAGGUACCGUGCGAAUAAGGGCCGGCUAAUUCCGUGCCAGCAGCCGCGGUAAUACGGAGGAUGCGAGCGUUAUCCGGAUUUAUUGGGUUUAAAGGGGGCGUAGGCGGAAGGUUAAGUCAGCGGUCAAAUGUCGGUGCUCAACACCGGCCUGCCGUUGAAACUGGUCUUCUUGAGUGAGCGAGAAGUAUGCGGAAUGCGUGGUGUAGCGGUGAAAUGCAUAGAUAUCGCGCAGAACUCCGAUUGCGAAGGCAGCAUACCGGCGCUCAACUGACGCUGAGGCACGAAAGCGUGGGGAGCGAACAGGAUUAGAUACCCGGGUAGUC